rnacentral:rRNA from 1 species
GACGAACGCUGGCGGCGUGCCUAAUACAUGCAAGUCGAGCGGAAUGAAGAAGAAGCUUGCUUCUUCUGAUUUUAGCGGCGGACGGGUGAGUAACACGUGGGCAACCUACCUUGUAGAUUGGGAUAACUCCGGGAAACCGGGGCUAAUACCGAAUAAUCCAUUUUGCUUCAUGGCGAGAUGUUAAAAGGCGGCUUCGGCUGUCACUACGAGAUGGGCCCGCGGCGCAUUAGCUAGUUGGUAGGGUAAUGGCCUACCAAGGCGACGAUGCGUAGCCGACCUGAGAGGGUGAUCGGCCACACUGGAACUGAGACACGGCCCAGACUCCUACGGGAGGCAGCAGUAGGGAAUCUUCCACAAUGGACGAAAGUCUGAUGGAGCAACGCCGCGUGAGUGAAGAAGGUUUUCGGAUCGUAAAACUCUGUUGUAAGGGAAGAACACGUACGAGAGUAACUGCUCGUACCUUGACGGUACCUUAUUAGAAAGCCACGGCUAACUACGUG